UACGAAGGGGGCUAGCGUUACUCGGAAUUACUGGGCGUAAAGGGCGCGUAGGCGGCGUUCCAAGUUAGGCGUGAAAGUCCUGGGCUCAACCUGGGAACUGCGCUUAAGACUGGAAUGCUAGAGGAUGGAAGAGGGUUGUGGAAUUCCCAGUGUAGAGGUGAAAUUCGUAGAUAUUGGGAAGGAAACACCGGAUGGCGAAGGG
rnacentral:rRNA from 1 species